GCGGUCCUUCACUGCACAGCUGCUUCCUGUAGUGCAGGGAAGUGUCGGUCUUCGCCGUCAACUGUCUGUGCUGUGGGUUUCAAAGGAACUGGGCGUGUGGAGCUGCUCACUGCACAAAACCCAGAGUCCUUCGGAGCCUGUCCCAGGGCAGCGUUCUGCACCAAGCCUGCUUACAGAGCCAGAGGGAGCUGCGCCUGCGGAAGUGGUUAGAGCCAGAAGAUUGCUUCAAGAUGCGUCCGGGUGACUGUUGGUGCCCACUUUGUGGGUAGGCGCUGAGGUCACUGCCCGCUGUCCCCUGCGUUCACUCUUACCGUUUCCUCCCUGCCCCCUCCCCCAGGCUGCCCUUGCCGGCUAAUGAAGAGGCUGCCAGCCCUCGCCCUGCUGCGAGCGAGCGCAGGAGGGCAGUGAGGAGGUCAGGGGUUUGUGCUCCUGGCUCUGUCCUUGCGCGGCAGCUCUGUGUGCUGUGUCUUGCUCUGCAAGGUGACUGCUGCCCUUGGGGUUCUGUGGUUCACCCAGCCUUCCCUUCUUCCACAUCCAGGAGACUUCCUUUUCCCCUGGUACUGGAGCAGAGGUCUCCACCUAAAAUGUUCCCCCAGGUCUCAUGUGUGUGGAAGCUGAUCGGACUGUGGGGAGCCUGUACUGACCAGCAGAUGCGCCCCUCAAUGUGUUCAGCUGCUCAAUGUGCUGUGGGAGGUGGGGCCUGGCUGGAGGUGGUCGCUGGGGUGAGAUCUGGGAAGUGUAUUCUUGUCCCUAAUCCCCCCCCCCCUACUCCUCAUCCCCUCCCCCUUCCCUCCCCCUACCCUCCCUCCUGCUCCUCCUCCCCUUCCCCCAUCCCGGCCUUCGUGGUGGGGUGAGCACUGUGCUCCUCCAGGCCCUUCUGCCCUGCCUUUUCUGCCUGGGAGCCAGCUGACCAUGGACUGAAUCCUUUAAAACCUGUGACCCAAUACAAAGGUCUCCUCCCUGAAGUGGUGGCGUCUGCGGCUGCUUUGUCCCGCCAGGGAAAGCUGACCCGUGCGGCUACCUGGCUGAGCCUCAGGCCCUCUCCUCCGGCGGCCGUCCAGUCCACCUAGGAGUGAGACUUCCAUCAGAUAUCAAAAGAGCUGAAUUAGGAAGAAUCCAGUACAGGAGAUUUACCUGUUUCUUCCCUAAGCCUCUGCCGAGUCAUCUCUCUUCCUUAACUCUCCACUGUCCGAGGAAACUGUGUUCCGUUUCCAGUUCUUACUGCCAGCGCGCACUUUGAUCCUGCCCAUGAGAGAAGCCACUCUCCGCCCCCUGGCCACUUGCAGAGCCCUCUCUCUCCCUUUCAUCUUCCUGGGCCUGCUUUCUUCUGAGGAGCUGUGGAACAUAGGGAUAAACAACAGAUUUUUGAGUUAGUUGAGCUGGACUCAGGCCUCAGGUCUGCUGUUUUCUAGACUGACCUUGGUGAGGUCACAGAGCCAACUUUCUGUCUCUCUGCUUGUAAAAUGGAGACGGGCGGGCUCCCAGUUCAGUGGGGCGUAAGUGCACCCCACGAGGAGUGCAGUGAACACUCCGUGAGUGAAUUACCGCAACCCUCUGUAAUUCUUACCAUUGAUAUCUAGAUGCCCCCACUCCCGGUCUCAUGUACUCAUGGGGACUUUAGGGAGGUGGCUGGUCAUGGGGGCAGGAUCCUCCCGGCUCGCUGAUGAGUUUAUACUGUAGCUACGUCUGGGGCUGGGAGCCGAAGUCAGGUUGGAGGACGCGAUCGCUGGGGAGCGGCUGGGAGGGUCUGUGUCCUCCUCCUCCACUGCUUUCCCUCUGCCUCGGUCACCAGGCCACAAGCUGUUCCCCUCUGCCAGGCCCCUCUGCCCGCCGCCCUGCCUUGGAGCUAGCGGACUGUGGAUUGAAAUCCCUGCAAGCUCUGAACCAAAAUAGAGCAGUGGGUGCUGGGUAUUAGGGCUCAGUAAUGAGGAAGUAAGCAAGGCGCACCUCUGCACACAUGCCGGCUCUGGACUGGAUCUGCUGUGUGAAGCGGUGCCCGUGAUCUUCAUGUUCCUUCUGGAAUAUUCUCGCUCACUCAUCACCAGCUGAUGCCCUUUGCUUGUUUAUUGCUUUAAAUGAAGUUUCUUAAAAUACAUAUAGAAAAUCAGAAU